GAUGAACGCUGGCGGCGUGCCUAAUACAUGCAAGUAGAACGCUGAAGGAAGGAGCUUGCUCUUUCCGGAUGAGUUGCGAACGGGUGAGUAACGCGUAGGUAACCUGCCUGGUAGCGGGGGAUAACUAUUGGAAACGAUAGCUAAUACCGCAUAACAGUAGAUGUUGCAUGACAACUAUUUGAAAGGGGCAAUUGCUCCACUACCAGAUGGACCUGCGUUGUAUUAGCUAGUUGGUGAGGUAACGGCUCACCAAGGCGACGAUACAUAGCCGACCUGAGAGGGUGAUCGGCCACACUGGGACUGAGACACGGCCCAGACUCCUACGGGAGGCAGCAGUAGGGAAUCUUCGGCAAUGGACGGAAGUCUGACCGAGCAACGCCGCGGGAGUGAAGAAGGUUGUCGGAUCGUAAAGCUCUGUUGUAAGAGAAGAACGAGUGUGAGAGUGGAAAGUUCACACUGUGACGGUAUCUUACCAGAAAGGGACGGCUAACUACGUG
rnacentral:rRNA from 1 species